UACGGGUUCAUUAAGCUUCCGCGACGUUGCCUCUUUCGACCACUGUCUCCUUAAUCGGCCUCAGUUCCUCGAUUGCGACUGACUGCGCCGGGCCGCUGCAUCCCGUGGGCGGCACUAAGUAAGGAAUAUCACGAUGGCUACGGGCUCCGUGAAAUGGUUCAACGCUACCAAAGGCUUCGGCUUCAUUGCUCCGGACGGUGGGAAAAAGGACGUGUUCGUUCAUAUCUCGGCUCUUGAGCGUGCCGGAAUCAGCGAACUGGCAGAUGGUCAGAAAGUGACCUUCGAUAUCGAAGCCGGCCGCGACGGCCGGGAAUCGGCGACCAAUCUGCAGCUCGCCUGAGGCGACUGCGUUCGGAAUUCGGAAAAGGGCGGGGCGGUUGCCUCGCCCUUUUUC
rnacentral:misc_RNA from 1 species